GCAGAUGGACCCUUCCUGGCUGAGAAUCUGUAUCUUCAGAUCUGAAAAUGCUUGCGAGAGCAAAUCAUCUGUCACUUGAGGAGACUGAUGUUUCUGAAGCAAGAAUUGAGACACAUAAGACUGAUGAUUUUCCCAGUCACAAGAUGAAAGGAGAGUCACCAAAGAAACAGGGUCACCAAACUGGAGCUGCAUCAUCUGAUGAACAGCGGCACAGGAAAUGUUAAUCUAAGAAGCGGUUUCUUGACAUGACAAAGACGUUGCCGAAAAGUCAGAAAAUUCACAUAUAGAUGAAAGAAAACGGUUCCAGCUGUUGCUGUCUAGCAAAGGAUGUGUCUAAACUUAGAAGCAGCUGGAAUGGAGACAAGCUCUGACUGUGUUUCCUGAAGAAAGGAGGGAAGGACAGAAAGGUGAAUCUGUGUUCAAAAUAAGGCUGACAGCUGAACGUAAAUAAAGGCUUUGUGAACCAUCAGGAGCUUCACCGUUAUUCGCCCCCAUAGACUGUAUAUAAAGAUGGACAUAGCAUCCGUGACGUCACCCGUUGGUUUCUGCACUGAGAAAUUGAAGCCUCUUCCUGGUUGACAUCUUGGAUUUUUGGAGCCAGUGAAGACAACAAGGGCGGAGCCAGAGAGCAGCGAUUGGUCAGACUGACUGAGAGCCGAAGAUUCUCUGUCCCGCCCACAUUUACGGCUUCUGCUGUUUACCUGCUGCUGCUAACAACGUUAGCAUCCAAAAGUGAAGAUAAACUCUACAGCUAAGUCAUUUUUGUAACUAGUUGUACUCUUCUCCACAUCUGGACAACAUCACAUAUAAAGCAGUGAAGUUACUGUAAGUUAAUAUCAAACUAUAACAUCUGAUAUAAACAUGUUCUAACGUCGUGUUUUAAAAUUGUUCUGUAAAUCUGAGGUUUCCUCAUUUAGUGCUAAUGCUACAUCAGGUUAGUCAGUGUCAUAAACUAGGUAACUGUUAGCUGUAGCUAAGUCUCCUGCAGAUCACAGCUGAUCAAUCAUAACGGAUUGAUAAGUGCUGUUUUAAUGAUCAGCAGAUAUAAAUAAAUCUACGUUAAUGUUCCUCCACAGAACUGUUACUGAUGAAUGUUAAUCUCUCAGUUCAGUUCUGAGUUAGUAUCUCUGUUCUUUGCUUCAGUUUUUUCUCUACAACUGUCUAUGAUGAGAUAACUGUGGAGCUCAUGCUAAUGAUACAUUAGAAUAAAAUAGAAGAAACUUUUUUGUCCAUCCAAGGCAGUAAAAUGGUCUUUAGCCUCAACCAGGAAAAGAAACAUUUCCAGAAGAUUAAAAAAUAGAACAAA
ensembl:lncRNA